rnacentral:lncRNA from 1 species
UUCUAGAUGCAUUUCGCCUCCUCGUGUUUCCACUUAACACCCACGACCCACUCACUCCAUUAAAGCUAGUUCCUCGCCUCUAGUCUCCAGGUUUCUUUUUUCGUGGUCAUCAGUCUCGCUCUCUCCCGGCACCCUCAGGCCGCGGGCCCCUCCCUUCGCGCGGGCUCGCACCUCUCCCCAGCCUGGUGCACCUGGGCUGACGCCGGCUCGGGACUCGUGCGGAGCGCCGCGAGCGCGGCGGAGGCAGAGGCGCGCUGACUGCCACCUCCAGCCCGUGCCGGAGGGACAGCACGCGCUGCGCAACGGAGACCGUUCUCCUUGGCCGCCGCUCACGGCUCGCGGCGACCACCGCCGUUGAAGCUGCAGGCGGGCAGCCGUGCGUCUCCCGGGACAGCCAGCCCCGGCGGCUGCUCCUCCCGGAUGCCAGGGCCAGGGCGCCGGGCGGCCGCCAGCAGGAGAAUGAAGAGCUCGGUGGGAGGAAGGAGAGAAAAGCUCCUGGGGGCGCCGAAAGCUCAGCCCAGCCGCGAUUUCACCUGUGUACACGAUGGCGAGAGUGAGGCUGAAUUAAUACCUGAUGACUUUGAAGAAAAACCAGAAAGAGAAAAGAAACAUACCAACUUUACUUUGUGCAAUGUAUGUAACAUUCAGCUGAAUUCAGCCGCUCAAGCACAAAUCCACUACAAUGGCAAAUCACAUCAAAAGAGAUUAAAACAACUCAGCAAUGGGACGCUGAAAAAUGACAAUGGUAA